rnacentral:lncRNA from 1 species
UUUUAUAUCUAUGAAGAUGUAUAUUCAAGAAAUGUUACAUUUCAGUAACCGUUAGGUAACCGGUUUUGAUUUCCGCGUUAUAUGUUACUUAAAGUGAUGUCCCGGAAAAGAAUUUUUUUUUAAAAGGAAACAAUUUUAUAUCACCAAUUCAAAAAACAAUUUACUCACUUUUCCACGUAAUAAAUAAAGAGUAUUUUUCGG